GCGGAGCUGCGCAGAGGCAGCAGGGCAGCGUGGGGAGCCCUGAGCCGGGUGCUGGGGGCCCCCCAGUGUUGGGCGGGGAUGCAGGCUCCGGGAGCCUUGGAGCUCUGGGGGAGGGAGGGAGACGGCUCUGCGGCCCCAAGAUGCACUCCUGGCAUGCGUGUUCCGAUGGGCAGCUAGGGUCUCCUUUAUCUCUUUCCUCCCGCGGUGACCAGUGGAGGCUCUGCACAUAGUCAGUGCUUUAUAAAUGUUGACAAAUUUUCUGUGUGGGUCCAGGGUGGCCAUCGCUCUUCCCUUUCUCUCAGGCCCACAUCCCCACACCCGAGCGUGCAUGCAAGGACGGGCCGAGGCCAAGUUGGCCACUCCUUUGAGCUCACUGCUCAGGCCGAUUAUGCCGCUGGGGACAAGACUGCGACCGCUGGGCGUGCCCUGCCCUGGCGUCGCUGAAGGCCUGGGUGACCUCAGCACGGAUCCCAGCACUGACUUCCCUGCCAGUGACGGAGUCCGGUUGGGCCAAAGCGACGAGGGAGUGAGAGGCCUGAUGCUAGAGAACUUUGCCGCACUGACUGUUGAUACUCCCUCCUCUUCAGAAAGCUCCUCCGCUGCCAUUCUCUGUUGCUCAGCCAGAAGCUGCUAAAGUUCCCCUGCAGACAGUUCCUCAACACCACCAGUGUCUACCUGCGAACAUAUGGAUGCUGCUACAGUGACAGUGUCAUCCUUUCUUCCAGGGAGAUCUCAGGGCCUUUAGAGAGACAGUGGCCCAGGAUUUCUCAAUUAACAUCACAAAGGAAAAACCCACAUUUGGGUCAUAACUCAAGACUUUGGUUAUGAGUUAAAACUAAAAUUCUGGUCAUAACCCCAGUUGUUUAUAUGUCAGGCUGGUCAUAACACGAGGGUCCACUGUACUCUGAUCUGCCUGGAGCAUUUGCAUGGUAGUGUGGAGUCCUAGCUCACUGCCUGCCUGAACAGAGGGCUGUGGUGGGAAGGCCUGGCUUCUGAGAUUUCAACAGCAUGGAAACUUCGGGGAUUGGGAAAUCCCACAAAUACUAAUCUUAGCAUUUGGGGAUCUCAACCUUUUGUUUAUGUUUUGCUUGGUUAGUCAUUCAUUCACCUCCCGUUUGACAGACUGUCCCUUCUGGCACAGGUUUAGGUUUCCCUUCUCGAGUGGACAUAGCCUGGACGGUGGCUGAGUCUAGGCAGGGUAAAGGCUGCAGCCAGGAAGGCCCAGGACACAAAGCCUGCAAGGAUGGAGCCCCUGCUCCAGAACACAGCACAAUCCUCCGCCCUGCAGCCCUGGGGGCGGACUCUGCCCCAGCCGCACAGCUGGGCGAGGAAUCAGACAAGAGAUAGUGAAGCAGCACCUUUAAUAGAUAUCAACCUGACAAAGUGCUUUCGGUGUUCCCAGCUGCUGUGACGCUGUCUAAGCCUUUUCCAGGCUGACAAUGACUCCUUUCCAUUCACACAAUGUUCUUCCUCUUGCCUCUGCUCCAACCUCCCCUCAUUACUGCUCCCACUCUGCAAGAAAAGGCUGAGUGCUUUUCCACAGAAACACAUUUAAAUCUCCCUCUCCUUCCACUCUGUCUCCUAAGAAAGUGUAGGGUGGCAACGCUUCCUACCCCAACAAAUCCACUGCUUAUUCUUUACACCUGCAAAGCCUCUGGCCAAGGGGGAUAACUCCUGCCACCACCACUUGCAGGAAGCUUUGCUUCUCUUGCAGGCCUGAGACCACCACCUCUUGGGCGCUGUAUGCUUUCCCGGGAAGUGCACAGAGCCCACAGGCCUCAGGUGGGAAAGAUGCAGUCUGUUUUGAUAGAGUCGUUGUCACCCAGCCAGGCAAUGGUAGCAUGGGUCGCAGGCGAGACCCUGACCCCCAGACGGCCCCACACCAAAGGACAUCGGUUUGGCUCAAAUGUUCUGUGCAAAGGCUUGGGGAGCCUUCGGGGCGGUGUGAUACUGAAGUGGUAAAACACUUGCCCUGCCAUGGAAAGGCCCUGGGCUCAAUCUCCACUCCUGCAAGAAAAUAAAACAAGCUCACACAGAACGAGUCACCUGUGCUGUGUUUAUCCUAAACUGGUCAAGAACUUGAGGACUCUGCUGAGUUUUCCUGCAAAAACCACAAAGUUUCAUGGGUGGGUUGGCACUCUCCUGAGCGAGGCAAAAGCUCAGUGCUGCAGUCUGUAAUGAGAAUCAAGGCCUGGGGCAGAUUUUGGUGAAAUUGGCUAUUCUUUGCUCUGCCCAAAAUGCAGCCCAGCGACAAGGCCUGUCAAGAAUCAUUUAGGAAUUUGUCUUCAGAACCAGUGGCGUCUUCAGCAGGGCCGUGGCUUGAAAGUAUUCUAAAAACCACAGGGAACAUCUUCCCGGUGAAUCACAAUCUGCCUGGUACGGAGAGAAAUCAAUGAAAUAAGCCUUGGUUCUCCCUUGGACGUUUGGGCAAUUGAGAUAAAAGCACUCUGUGGCUAUGGUCCACAUUGUUUUCGGACCUGAAGCUGAAUUUGCCAUUUGAAUUUGUUCUGAGGCAGGAAGUGAGCGUCUGGAAAGACAAAGGAAGUGUGGGGUGUGGUGAGCAAACGAAUACAUUUUCUAUGAUUUUUCCCCAAGAUUCAGUAGACCCAGGAUUUGAUCCCCUGGCCGAGUCCUACUAAAUUCUUUUACCCUGUAACGCCUGGAUUCUUUCUUCGAGUGCCAGAAGAAGUUCAUUACCUACAAGGACUUCUCAGACUGCUAAUGGAAACAGCCAAAGGCGAAGAACUAUAAGCAGAUCCCCAGAACUGCGGGCCGGGUCUCCAAUCCUACUCCAGCCUGGACGUAGAAUUCUUCUCCUCACACCCCACCAAAGCCAGCCCAAGAGCACUGCCUGGCAUGGUCAACUCUGGCCCAGCCCACACCACGUCAGUUCUGAGUCUGUGCUUAGAAUCUCCUCUGCACGGAAAGCAAACACGAGUACACAGAAAUCCCAACAGCAAAGGCUUGGGCCUGCAGCAGGGCUGAUGUGCGUCUCCACCCUGCGACAGAGCCAGUUGUUAGGGGUUCAGGAGGGGAGUGAGGUUUAGGCACAGGCGUACAAAUUUUUAAAGCACUUUUGAAAAUACCUCUGUAUAUAGCAGUGAAUGCUUGAGAUGAAUAAUUCUUUUCCUAGGGCCAGAUCAGGUCUGUUUAUCACAAAUGUGCACCCUUGCCUAAGAAAAGGGUCCGAGAAGGGGCACAGCAAGUGGGAGUCUUCCCAAGAGGAUUUAAAUGCUUACCAAGGUAUAUAAGUAAACCCAGAAAAAGUGCAGGAAUAACUAAGGAUAGAAGCGUUGGCCAGCGGAAAGAUGAACUCGCUAACCAGUGGUGGUGAACACAAGGCACGUGACUCAUUGUGCUUUUCUCUUAAGACAAAACACGUUAAUGUGUGAGUUGUUUUUUCUAAACUAAGACUUCGGUAUUCAGGUUUAAUUGCAGUGUUGGCACUUUACAAUAAAUAAGUGGAUUUGUGGUUGCAGUUUGGGCCCUUCUCUCUAAACAUUCACAAUCGCUGCAUGAGAUAUAUCUAAUAAUCCCUCUGUUUCUUAGAGAAAGGUACAGAUUGGGCUCUGCAGUCUCUAUCAGCUGAUAUAAACAGAAAAAUGCCAUCAGCUGCAUUAAGCUGCUGUGUCCUUAAGAUACAGAAUCAGUUCAGGACAGGCGCAGCUAUUCAGGCCGGGUUAGAGGUGUGUGUGGAGGCAGGGCAGGCGCUUAUUUCUUUUUGCGGGGGACUGAGGGCUUCUUGGGUGUGUCCCUGUCCGUGGUCAAGCCAGGAAAGUUCCCGGCAAACCAGGACGAGUUGGUCCCCUAAAGGGCCUUCCUGGCACGAAGCCCUGGCUCCACCUAGAAUACAGGCCACUGCUCCCGGACAUGUGUCUGUUCCAAGCCUGGCAGCUGCAGGAGGCCCCAGAGCCGCAGGUGCUGACCUUGGGGUUAUGACAAGUUGUUGGCUCAGUGUUUGUAAACCAUGUCCGAGCCACAGGGUGUAGGGGACAGAAAGGACAGUGGGGAAGAGGGAAAUCCCAGCAGAAAUGCUCCUGCUGUAGCUGCUUGGAGAGAGUAAGCCAGGGAAACGUGCCUAUAAAAGGCCUUGUAGGACACAGCCUCGGCCACCUGCCCCGCAGGCCCUGCUGGGCAUGUACAAGGUUGCAGCAGCCGGUGCCCAUAGGCAGGGGACCCUGCAGGGCAGACCAGAUCUCCCCCGUCCUUGGCUGGCUUGCCUUGCCUCAGCCUACCUUGGACUGUCCCGAUUAGCUCUCAAAAAAAGAUCCUUAGACUGAUUCUUGGCAAUAAAAGGCAGAGAUGUGCAACCUCAGACUAAAUUAGACAGCUUCCACGGUGGCCCUUUGUCUAGUGUUGCAGCUGAGAGCUAGGCUGCCCAGCCAGAAGACACUCCCUUCCUUUUAUAACCAGUGUUCUAACACUGACAUCCUGUGCUGGAACAUUCUGUCCUGUGCCAGCAUGGCCUUUCGUCUGGCAGAGUGCAUAAUAAAUAGAGGAACGCUUGCUGCCCUAGUCUAGGAAUGCGACAUAAUUCUGUCCCGACUUUCCAAAGUCAUUCUCCUUGGAAGCCUGACAGUCACGGUGGCUCCCCGGGCAAGAGAAUGCUGCCCCCUGGUGGUCGUGCCUUCUUCAGGCUCUCGCUGGGUCUCUUUCUUCCGCCAUAUUGGGUAAUGAGGCAGAAGCAACAUUCCACAAAUUUCUUACAAGGAUCCCACUAGGACAAUUUUCUGAAUCUCUUCAGGGAAAGUAGUUGAUAUUACACACUGCGUUGCUUCAGCUGGCAUGGGUCUGAGAUUGGGACGGGCUAGAGCAAAGUUGUUUUUAAGAAUCAUUUUAUACAUCUGGUUUUUAACAUCUGUAGGGGCUAGACAAUCAUGCUACAUCAGAUCCCUCCAGAAACUGCCAUGAGUCUCAUGGGCUCCCUUCUACAGAGGGCCUACUCAGGAGGCAAAUUCAAGAAGUAACGUCUAGCAGGUCCAGGGACAGGAGACCCUGGAAAAAGCACCUGCCCCUGCUGUGGACCACUGGGGCUAGAUUAAUUAGAAUGCGCGAGGGUGGAUCUUUUGGGCUGUUCUAUAUUCCUGCCAUGUUGGAAACGGAAAGCUUGCAUUAUGGGAAUAAUUCUGCAACUAGCUCACUUUCGGCUUGCUUUGGAGAACAGGUCUCCCUCUCAUCGGGUAAGGUCCAGCAGUCCUCAAUUCCUCCACUCUGCUCGCUCUUGCUCGACUUACCAUCGGACUAAAUCAGGGCCAAGUUCUGCCGCGUUCACCCCUCACCAGGAAAACGUGUACGGCCAUGUGGGCCGUGUAGCAGCCCUCCUGGAGACCUGUCCCCUUCUGUCGUGAGCAGCUGAGCUGGGCGUCACCAAGUGCCGGUCAGAUGCGUUUGCUUCUGGAUCUGUUGGCUGCCAGCUGCACUUGCGAUGACAAUUAUGUGACUUAGUUAAUAAUACAC
rnacentral:lncRNA from 1 species